rnacentral:precursor_RNA from 1 species
UUUUUUGCUCCACAUAUGCAUGCUUUCUACGAUUCGGAGAUCAGUGCAGCCCAAAGAUCACAUUGGAUUCUCCUCACUACACUCCAUCUUCUAACUUAGUCUGCAUCACGGCUAGGUGCAUCCGUUGCCAAGUUCAUCCAAUAUAUGCCAACCGCAUUGCAAGGACGACCAUAUGCACACACACACCACAGUCCACAGGAGACAGAUAGCUAGCUAGCUUACUCUUUAGUCAUACGUACACUUAUAAAUAGCCACCGGCUCUGUGCUCAUCAGCAAGGCAGAUUAAACAAGUGAAGUGGUCCACAUCAAAAAUGAAGUAAUCAGGUCUAGGGAGUCAAAAUUUGGUUGGUUGUCCACUGGAGUUCUCCUCAAUCCACUUCAGUAGAUAGCUAUGGCUAGGCCUCAUUGCAUUGCACUGUUACAUAACUGUGAUCAUGGGGCCAAAAGCUAGCUAUGUAUAGUGAAGUGCUUGGGGGAACUCCAGUUGACACUCAGCAUUUUCAAGUUAGGUAUGUAAGUGCUUGUACUUUAUGAAUUUGUAAGUGACAGAGAAUGAUUAGGUUUGGAGUCCCUAGGAGUUCCUUUCAAGCACUUUACGACACACUGUAUUGAGAGUUGUCGUGAAGUGUUUGGGGGAACUCUUAGUG